GCUUGGAUAGCUUAUGUAGAGCGUGAUAUUGAAGAUAUCAAGGAGAUUAAUAUUUUCAGGUA
rnacentral:tRNA from 1 species